GGGAGCGUAAAGGUUUCGACAGGGACUUUGAACCGCCGGAAGCGAGCAGAGGCGCAGAACCGCUUUAAAAUCUGCAAUUAUAAAUUAACUGACAACAAUAAAGUUGCUCUUGCGGCUUAAUUAAGCCGCCGUCCGUAUCAGAAGUACCGCGGUCUUUUGCGGGCGUCAAUCAGCGGUAAAUGUGAACGGUAAAGCGCCCUCUUUACCGUCAUAACGUAAGGGCUACCGAAAAUGCCGCCUUGAUAUUUGAGUGACGUUUAAGGGAAUUUAAUCAAAUAUCUGCGCUCGGAGAUGCCGACGGGAAUCGGUUUUUGGACGGGGGUUCGAUUCCCCCCGCUUCCACCA
rnacentral:tmRNA from 1 species